GGAAGAAGGAAGCUUUGGCUUUUUGCCUGCUUGCCCUCACUCUUGCUGAGAAUCCUCACUAAGAAAAGGGUGAACGCUAAGCUACUUCUCACUGUUCACUGAUGAGAUAUGAUCUGAGUGGAGACGGCAAAGAUUGUCACCAGAAGAGUACCUGCAAAGGGCCCCACCUGACUAUAAAUGGAAUGAGCUUAAUGACAUCAGCAGCAGAAAAAAACAAGACAGAAGACAUUACUACUCUAAAGAAAUGACAUAUUUGAGGGAGUGAGAAAAUUAUAAAAAGCUGUUCUACGUAUAUAUUCCACAUCUUUAAAAUGCUACUGAAUUGGCAUUAAUAAAAAUAUUUAAUAUGAUUCUUAAAA